rnacentral:misc_RNA from 1 species
AAGUCGUAACAAGGUUUCCGUAGGUGAACCUGCGGAAGGAUCAUUAAUGAAAUGCAAGGAUGCUCUUUUUAGAGGUCCGACUCAAUUCAUUUCCUUACCCUGUGCACAAUACUAUUUUUUACACCCAUUUUAAACACUAUAGUCUAAGAAUGUCAUAGUCUCUUAAUUGAGCAUAAACAUAAUAAAACUUUCGGCAACGGAUCUCUUGGCUCCC